UGGUGGAUUGAUUUGUCAGGUUGAUUCCGACAACGAACGAGAUCCAAGCUUUCUAGUUCGGGACAUCCUACUUUUCUGGGUGUCUUCUUGGUUAGAAGGACGGUGUUGGCUUACAACAAUGAAGGGUUGGGCGAUAACA
rnacentral:rRNA from 1 species